rnacentral:misc_RNA from 1 species
CAACCCUCAAGCCCUGCUUGGUGUUGGGGCCCUACGGCUGCCGUAGGCCCUGAAAGGAAGUGGCGGGCUCGCUACAACUCCGAGCGUAGUAAUUCAUUAUCUCGCUUAGGGCGUUGUGCGGUGCUCCAGCCGUUAAAGACCAUCUUUAACUCAA